CGAUGAUGCCCAGCUUGCUGGGCGGAUUAGUGGCGAACGGGUGAGUAAUACGUGAGUAACCUGCCCUUGACUCUGGGAUAAGCCUGGGAAACUGGGUCUAAUACUGGAUACUACCUCUUACCGCAUGGUGGGUGGUGGAAAGGGUUUUACUGGUUUUGGAUGGGCUCACGGCCUAUCAGCUUGUUGGUGGGGUAAUGGCUCACCAAGGCGACGACGGGUAGCCGGCCUGAGAGGGUGACCGGCCACACUGGGACUGAGACACGGCCCAGACUCCUACGGGAGGCAGCAGUGGGGAAUAUUGCACAAUGGGCGGAAGCCUGAUGCAGCGACGCCGCGUGAGGGAUGACGGCCUUCGGGUUGUAAACCUCUUUCAGUAGGGAAGAAGCGAGAGUGACGGUACCUGCAGAAGAAGCGCCGGCUAACUACGUGCCAGC
rnacentral:rRNA from 1 species